UUGGGGAAGAAGAAAGUGACGGUACCCAAGGAGAAAGCCCCGGCUAAAUACGUGCCAGCAGCCGCGGUAAUACGUAUGGGGCAAGCGUUAUCCGGAAUUAUUGGGCGUAAAGAGUGCGUAGGUGGUUACCUAAGCGCAAGGUUUAAUCUUGAGGCUCAACCUCAUUCUGCCUUGCGAACUGGGCUACUUGAGUGCUGGAGGGGAAAGCGGAAUUCCCAGUGUAGCGGUGAAAUGCGUAGAUAUUGGGAAGAACACCGGUGGCGAARGCGGCUUUCUGGACAGUAACUGACACUGAGGCACGAAAGCGUGGGGAGCAAACAGGAUUAGAUACCCUGGUAGUCCACGCCGUAAACGAUGAGCACUAGUUGUUGGGUCCGAAUGGAUUCAGUGACGCAGUUAACGCAAUAAGUGCUCCGCCUGGGGAGUACGGUGGCAACACUAAAACUCAAAGGAAUUGACGGGGACCCGCACAAGCAGCGGAGCAUGUGGUUUAAUUCGAAGCAACGCGAAAAACCUUACCAGGGCUUGACAUCCCUCUGAAAGCUUCCUUAACCGGAAGCCCCCUUCGGGCAGAGGUGACAGGUGGUGCAUGGUUGUCGUCAGCUCGUGUCGUGAGAUGUUGGGUUAAGUCCCGCAACGAGCGCAACCCUUGUCGUCAGUUACUAACAUUUAGUUGAGGACUCUGGCGAGACUGCCGAGGUCAACUCGGAGGAAGGUGGGGAUGACGUCAAAUCAUCAUGCCCCUUAUGUUCUGGGCUACACACGUGCUACAAUGGUCGGUACAAUGAGAAGCAAGAUGGCGACAUGGAGCAAAUCACCAAAACCGAUCCCAGUUCGGAUUGCAGGCUGCAACUCGCCUGCAUGAAGUCGGAGUUGCUAGUAAUCGCGAAUCAGCAUGUCGCGGUGAAUGCGUUCCCGGGUCUUGUACACACCGCCCGUCACACCAUGGAAGUUGGGGGCGCCCAAAGUUGGCUAAUUAAUCUGCUACCUAAGGCGAAACCAAUGACUGGGGUGAAGUCGUAACAAGGUAA
rnacentral:rRNA from 1 species